GCCCGGGUGGCGGAAUGGGUAGACGCGCACGGUUCAGGUCCGUGUGUUCGAAAGAACGUGCUGGUUCGAGUCCAGUCCUGGGUA
rnacentral:tRNA from 1 species